rnacentral:rRNA from 1 species
UGGGGAAUAUUGGUCAAUGGGCGCAAGCCUGUUCCAGCCAUACCGCGUGCAGGAUGAAGGCCUUCGGGUUGUAAAGUGCUUUUGUACGGAACGAAAAGGUUUGGACUAAUAAGCUGAGCUCAUGACGGUACCGUAAGAAUAAGCACCGGCUAACUACGUGCCAGCAGCCGCGGUAAUACGUAGGGUGCGAGCGUUAAUCGGAAUUACUGGGCGUAAAGCGUGCGCAGGCGGUUAUGUAAGACAGGUGUGAAAUCCCCGGGCUCAACCUGGGAACUGCAUUAGUGACUGCAGAGCUUGAGUGAGGCAGAGGGGGAUGGAAUUCCGAGUGUAGAAGUGAAAUUCGUAGAUAUGCGGAGGAACACCGGUGGCGAAGGCAAUCCCCUGGGCUUGUACUGACGCUGAUGGACGAAAGCGGGGGGAGCCAACA